rnacentral:snRNA from 1 species
AUACUUGCCUGGCAGGGGAGACACCAUGAUCACGAAGGUGGUUUUCCAGGACGAGGCUUAUCCAUUGUACUUCGGAUGUGCUGACCCCUGCAAUUUCCCCAAAUUUGGGAAACUCGACUGCAUAAUUUGUGGUAGUGGGGGACUGCGUCCCACUCUCCCAUA